CAUCACAAACGCAGCGGCAGCGCGCGGAGGGAACUCAAAGCCUGACUGGUUCUUCCUUAAGCUGGACGCGAGCUGGUUGGCAACCGGCCUUCAGUGGGUGGCCUUCAGUUAGUGCCUUCAGUGGGUGCCUCAAGGUGGUGGCAUUUGGUUGCCUUUGCUGGGGAGAGGCGGCAGGUGCUAGCUCUGCAGCCGUGGGGGCAAGCGAAGGCCCGAGCUGCCCGAGAAGAGCGGAGGUGCCCCAUGGGGACCACGCUGACCUGUCGCAUGUGCACCAAAGCCAGCCCCUGGCAGGGCCGGCGGGGGGUUCUGCGGGGCCAUCCUGUGGCUCUGACAUCUGUGAGUGGGCGGCCAGCAAAGGCACAGGCCCCAGCAGAGAGGAGCAGAGACGCCCAGAACACGCUGGUCCCAUGUCAGCCCCAAGCGGGGCCAGCUGGGGUGCGGUGGGCAGAGCCUUCCUGCAGCUCUGAGAUCCAUGAGGUGCAGGUGGGAGUAGCGCCAGGCUCCACUGCGUUGGUGCCCACCCAGUCCGAUUCCGGAGCCGUGACUGGCAGCGCCCUGGCGACCAGAAGAGCCCAAAGCUCUUUGUCCUGGGCAGAGCUUGCUGCACCUUCCAGUUGCAGUAAUCAAGGAAGCGGAGUCCCUGCAAUUCUUCAAGGAACCUUGAGAACUCAGGAGGUCCUGGGGUGGCUGCAUCAAUCCUGCAGACCAAUGCCAAUCAGCAGAGGGGCCAUUCCCAGGGCCACAUGGCUGGCUGAGUUGGGCCUUGGCCAGAAUUGUUAAAAUACGAAGACAUAUAAUCUCGGAAUCAAGGAAAAGAGGGCAACUGAAAACCAAGUAUUCAUGUUGCUUCCCAGGAAGAUGACGGGCUGGACAAAGGAGCUGAGAAGUCAGGUUUGUACUUGCACGGUGUAGGGUCAUCACUUAGCUCCAUGUGCCUCCUCUGAGGGCACGGGUGUAUGUGUGGUUGACUGCUUUGAUAUAUUCCAUUUCGGUUUGAAAACACCCUGAGGCAACAGUGACCAAACUACUUUUAUCCAUUCACAAACAUAUGAAAACCAAAUGUGGAUCUAGGAAAAGAGAUUGUCAAAUAAAUUAAUUUUUGCUACUACUACUAGUAUUUUUUUAAAAAAUAGCGCUGAAACCAAAC
rnacentral:lncRNA from 1 species